rnacentral:rRNA from 1 species
GUUGACCUCGGAUCAGGUAGGGAUACCCGCUGAACUUAAGCAUAUCAAUAAGCGGAGGAAAAGAAACCAACAGGGAUUGCCCUAGUAACGGCGAGUGAAGCGGCAACAGCUCAAAUUUGAAAGCUGGCCUUCGGGUCCGCAUUGUAAUUUGUAGAGGAUGCUUUGGGUGAAACGCCAGUCUAAGUUCCUUGGAACAGGACGUCAUAGAGGGUGAGAAUCCCGUAUGUGACUGGAAAUGUUAACCUAUGUAAAGCUCCUUCGACGAGUCGAGUUGUUUGGGAAUGCAGCUCUAAAUGGGAGGUAAAUUUCUUCUAAAGCUAAAUAUUGGCGAGAGACCGAUAGCGCACAAGUAGAGUGAUCGAAAGAUGAAAAGCACUUUGGAAAGAGAGUUAAAAAGCACGUGAAAUUGUUGAAAGGGAAGCGCUUGCAAUCAGACUUGUUUAAACUGUUCGGCCGGUCUUCUGACCGGUUUACUCAGUUUGGACAGGCCAGCAUCAGUUUCGGCGGCCGGAUAAAGGCUCUGGGAAUGUGGCCUUCACUUCGGUGAAGGUGUUAUAGCCCAGGGUGUAAUACGGCCAGCCGGGACUGAGGUCCGCGCUUCGGCUAG